GCGCAUGUAGCUCAGCUGGAUAGAGUACCUGGCUACGAACCAGGCGGUCGGAGGUUCGACUCCUUCCACGCGCACCA
rnacentral:tRNA from 2 species